UGAAAAUAUGUUUAUAUGAAUUCUUAGUUUGGAAUUUGAUAUGUAUUUAAUUGGUGAGAAUCUAAUAUGUAUUCACAUGUGUGGGUUGGUGGUGUCUGUGUGGAGACUGCAGAUUAAAGAAUGUCAUAACUGGGCCGGGCACGGUGGCUCACACCUAUAAUCCCAGCACUUUGGGAGGCCGAGGCAGGUGGAUCACCUGAGGUCAGGAGUUUGAGACCAGCCUGACCAACAUGGUGAAACCCCGUCUUUACUAAAAAUACAAAAAUUAGCUGGGUGUGGUGGUGCAUGGCUGUAGUCCCAGCUACUCGGGAGGCUGAGGCAGAAGAAUCACUUGAACCCAAGAGGCGGAGGUUGCAAUGAGCCCAGAUCGUGCCACUGCACUCCAGCCUGGGCGACAGAGCGAGACUCCAUUCCCCGCCCCCUAAAAAAGAAGGUCAUAACUGUUUUUGUGAGAGUGUGUAGGAGUGAGAGUUUAUAUUUGGAGAAUAUGAGAUGUAAGAUAUGUAUACCAGAAGAAUUGGGGUUAUAUAUUUGUGAUUUGGGUUGUGAAGAUGUAUUUUCCAUGUGUUUUCUCAGAUGAAUGUUGGCGAUUUGUAUUUGUCUAAUGUUUGGCAGAUUUGGAAGAAUUAUCUUGUGCACAUGGGCAAUAACAGAGAAAGUGCUUGUGUCUAUUUUGUGGAUGUACGCUCUGUUUGGUUUACGUAUUUGGGAAAUGUAGGAAGACCAUUUGUAUACUCGGGGCAUGUUGCAUGGUGAUGCGUGCUUCUUUUCAUGAUUUUCAGGGGGUGUGUAUGGCUAUUUCAAUGUGUGAGGGCAGAUCCAUGUCUACUGGGGGACUGGUAGGAUGAAUGUGUGCAGUUAUGAGGUGGAGUUUAUAUGAUUCUGUGUCUUGGAAGAUGGAGGAGUUAUUUCUGUGUGAGCAUUUGGAAGUGUGAUUACAUAUGUGCAGGUAUUGUGGAACUGUAUGUGUAUUUGGGGAUAUGAGGUGGCAUGUUUGCAUAUUUGUGGCGUGUUAGUUAAUCGCGGGUAUAUUUAGGGCAUGUAGACAAAUACAUGAGUAUUGAGUCUGUGGGUGUGUUCAAGGGCGUGGCAGUUUAGAUGAAGGUUUUGUGGAGCUAUGUGCUUGUGUUUUUCAGUAAGUGGUUAUUAGGGUUAUAUAUUCUGGGAAUUUAGUAUGUGUGUGUCUGAUAGAGAGAUGAGGUUCUCUUUUUAUACAGGAGAGUGGGAGAGUUGAAUUUAUAUGUAUUAGAGGUAUGUGAUAUGGUUAUUGGUUAGUACUUGGCAAUGUGGGAGCUGGUUCAUACUAGAUUGGGAUAAUUUGGGAUUGGGAACUGUUUUUAUGGGUAUUUAUAAAUGAUAUGCUGGAGAUAUUUCUGUGCAUCUUGGGUGUGUAUACUGGUUUGUGUGUAUAUUUAUCAGCAGAUAGAUGAAUUAUCUAAGUCUGUUUAUAGAAUACGGGAUUGUUAGUAUUUAAAGUGUAUUUCUUUGGAGAAUGCUAGGAUGUUCGUACAUGUGUUUGGGCAUGUUUAGGGGAUGAGGUGAGGAGGUUGUAUUCUGGAGAUGUAGCAUAUUGAUUGGAUAGUGUUUCGGGGGAUUUAUACACUCAGGGAUUGGGGAUAUUUGUGUGAGUUUGUAUGUGCCCAUGGGUAUAUGAAAGUUGUGUGCGUAUAUUAGAGUAUUAUUGGUGUUUUUGUGGGUUUUUUUUUUUUUUUUUGUAUUGUAUGGGUUUUAUCUGGGAGGGUGAGGUGUGUAUUCAUGGGUAGUUUGUGAGUGUGUAUAUGAGGGGUUUUGGGUAUAUUAAGACUUAGUGGUCCUCUGUGUCUGUUGUGAAAUGUAAUACUCGCAGAAUUUGGUGUUGCCACUUGUAUGUGUGUUCUCAGAGUUCGUGAGGUGGACUUAUAUGUAUUUGAUAAAAAUAGUUUGUGGUUCUGUGUGUAUUUGAGUUUAUGUGGCUUCUGUGUUUUGUAUUCUGGGAGAUGUGGGAGGUUCAGUGCAUGUAUUUGGAAACAGAGAGGCUGUGUAGGUUGUGUUUGGAUUCAAGAAUCAUGGAUUCCUGUAUUUUAGAGCUGUGGGAUUGUAUGUGAUUCUUUUUCUGGGUGAUGCAUGACACAAGUGUUGUAUACCUUGUGAUUUUUUUUUUUGAGCCUAUGCCUAUAGGAUUUUCAUUAUGUACUGUUAACAAAUCUACUGAAAAGGAUUUUCUUUAAAAAAUAACAAAAGAAAAAAAUAGAAAUUUGAUUCCACUGAGCUGUUUGCAAAUCAAGGAGUCCCAGCCUUCAGUGCAAAACAAAGAUACACUCUGAAAGAACAAAGAGAGGUAUUAUCUUUUACAGAGAAAUUCGUUCUCAGAUUCCCGAUCUGGUUCACUCUGCAAAUGAGGGAUACAAGCUUGUUUAUUUCUGAUUGGCUGAUGCAAGUCACAGUCUAUUUCUUAAGUCCAUAUGAUGAAAUGGUACCCCUUGAUUCAGGUGACAUAAACAGGAACAGACAGCUGUGAAAGUCCCAAAGUAACACAAGUACGUGGUUUUUGCAGGAAACAGGGUAAAUGUGUGAGACUUGCAGUCAGCAAAUGGCUGCUUGGCUCCAUUUUGAGUUUAGGCCCAGUUAGCCACUCAUGAUCAGCCCUUUCAGGGUUCACACUAUAUAUGGGUAUAUAUGGGUACUGUGUUCAUUGUACGUGUUUGUAUUUGGGCACGUAUAUAUGUACAUAUAUGGUUUUAGCAGUGAGGUGAGCAUUUGGGGCAGGUAGAGUUUUGUCUGCAAAUUUAAGUAAUAAUUGGUGCAGGCCAUCUGUGUAUUUAGGGUACAGGUAGCAGUUGUGUUGCUGGUGGGCUGGUUCAGGUUCUUGACUUUGCUGCACAAAAGAAGUCUUACUUUGAGAGUGAGUCCAACGUAAAAGUAAGCAAGAGAGGUUACUGCAAAGUGAAUGUACACUCUGACAGCCGAUCAGAGUGGGCUGCUCAAAGGUGAGACAGCAUUGACUGACACUGGGGAAACCUCCUUUAUGGGAGCCUUACAUGACUAUUCAUGAAGGGGUGGGAAGGGGUGUCACUGUUAAGCACUCUCUGGACUGUUCUCUGGACGUGCAUGCGCUAAAUGCUGCACAUGCUAGUGCCUAUAUCAGGUGAAUCAUUAACAUCUUAAAUCUCUACCCAAGGGUGUGUUUUUCACUGUUAUAAUGAGCACUGGUCAACCCAGGGACACUAAUCAUGGGUUUUCACACUUGUGCGAAUUUGGGGAUUUCCCCUUCUUCUUUUCCACCUCCUUACUGCAGGACCUCCUUGUGCACUGUCGGAUGGUUUGUUCUCUUCAUCUGUUUAGCAAGGUUGUUCUCCUUUAAUGGAGGCUAUGGCCACCCUAUCCUAUCUCAGUUGUGUGUGUCUGUUCAGGAUAUAUGAGGAGGUUGUGUUCUGGAGGUACAUCGUUUGGUUUUGUUUUUAUAUUUGGGGUGAGAGUUGUGGGUCCUACUCAGGGUGCAGGUAGAUUGUGUACACAUAUUCCUAUGAAAGGAUGUGGCUGUGCUGGAGCUGGCUUGUACUGGCUUGGGGUAGCCACUGGGCAUGGCACAUCUCUUCUCAUCUCUGUGUUCAGUGGCGUUAGGUUGGUAGUUUAAAAUUAGUCAUGCUGAGAUAUUUACACCACUUAAGCAUCACAAUUCUAGGCUUUCCUAUUUCCCCCUGGAGAGCAUUUUAUUAAGCAGUUAGCAACACACCACUGGGGUGGGGGGCGGUGUGUGUGUUCAGGAUCUGUAAGCAAAUGUUUGUAUGAAGCAAGAAUAUUGAGGCUUUAAUAGGUGUGUAUUCUGGGGAUUCUAUGUGUAUUGUAGUGAUGCAGAAUGACCAGGGAGCAUGGUUGAGAAUGACCCUCCCUGGUCAUUCUGCAUCACUGUGUUACUCCUAAAUAGGUGGUUCAUUCUUAGGGCCAAAGAAUCCAUAUAAAUGGUAGUUUCUUGCUCUUCCUCCCACAGAUGGAUGCAGGGGUACCUGCACCUUAGGCAGGUGGUUGCUCCUUCAGUAUCUGUGUGUUCCUAGCAUCUGGGUCCUCAGAUGGGUGGGCCUGGUAGACAGAACACUGUGCAGAGCAGAACUUUUCUAGAUAUUGUCCGUGUGAUUGGCACAGUCAGAAAGAUGUGGGGUUUCCAGGACAGGAGGUCAGAUGUGCCAUGUCUUCUCUCAGUCCUGAUGUCCCUGCUGAUUCCUCUGGGGCAUGGCGAGUGACGAGGACACCCUCUAACAUACGUUCCAUGAGAUGAAAGCCUGCAGAACCUGUGCCUGCACUACCAUCUGCCUCCUGGGUGGGGAUACUAUUGGGUGUCAGGCUGAGAGCUAGGCCACCAGUUCUCAACCAACCUGUCCCCAUGGAAACCUGAGGCUUCGGGGCUAAGGCAGGACCUCCAGCAGGUACCCAGUGUUGAGAAUAUGUGUUGGUUUCUGUGUUAGGAGUUUUAUCUCAGUGGAGUCUUGGUAAAAAGAGGGAAUCAAAGGCACGUGACAUUUUCUUCUUUCUCUGGUAAAGUGAGGAAUGAAUGUUGACCAUUUCUUUCUGAAGUUCCAUACAGAACAUGUAUACUCAGCCUGAGGAGCCAAGGUGAUUCCUUAGCUGCUCUUGGAGAAGGUGUCAUCUAGUCUUCACAAGGAGUCUUCAGGCACAAGGGCCUGAAUCUGAUUACUCGUGGAAAGCAUUGGGCAGAGCUUCACAGUCCCACCUAGAGCUGGGCUGUAAUUCUAGGGACAAAGUGGAGGAGCAACAAGGAAGUGGUGGGGAGCACACCUUUAGAACCUGGGCCUGGGGAGGGCAGGCCAAGGAAGCCUGAGUUUACAUGGGCUCAGGUCCUGGGGCAGAAGCCAGACACAGAGCCUGAGCAGCCAGAUUCGCUCCGGCCUGGGUUGUGGGUGGGGAUGAGCCUCCUCUUGUGCUCCUGUCUGGGGCACCCCUGAGCUGCAGGUGAAGGUCUUAGUUGCACCUUGGCAGGGAUGUACAGCCAGGCCUGGUGCUAAGGAGUGAGGAGGGUAGAGUCAAGGAGAGGAGGCACCGAUCUGUGUCCCUUCAGCAAUCUGGAGCAUGAUGUUAGAUCCUGUUAGGGCGACCUCCCACUCGCAUCUCCUGGAUCUUCUGUCACUGGGAGGCUCAGGACCCCAAGAGAGAAUGGAUUCGGUUUCCCCUGAUGUGUUCAUCUGGUUCUGGGUCCCCAUUCUCUCAGCAUGUUGGGUGCUGGCCCUGCAGGUGUGGGAGAAGCCUGGCAGGGGCGGGGGUCAGUGAAGUGACAUGGGCAGAGCUGGGCAGGCUCUGUCCUGAGGGGUGCUGGGAGCUGGGUUCUGGAGAGACAGGGAAGCCCCCUGAGAAAAUGUGGCUCUGAUGUUUCUGAGAACCCAGAAUACAGGAGCUGCAGAGGGGGAGGGCUUGGUUCACCCCACAUGUCCCACCCCAUUUGGGCUCACCCCACACAUCCCACCCAUCCCAGUGAGGUGGUGGUGGUCAGCCACCUGUUUGUGUUCACGUCUGGGGUCACCGUAAGCCAGGCAGGAUCCAGACCUUCCACUGUGACUCUGACCCUCACCCACCAAAUCUUAGCCCUCUGUACAAGGUGUUUAAGGGGCCCCAGGGGGCCUGGGGGCCCAGUGAGCAGCCCCCCAACAGGGAGGGACAGGCUUGUGGUGCCAGGCUCUGGUAAACCAGGGCCUGCAGGAGCCAUGGGUACUUUCCUGAUGCAAAGAGGAAGGAAAAGGAAGGGAGCGGAGCCCCGCCUGGGCCGCAGGGCAGUGCACUCCUCAGCCGGCUUCCUCUGGUCACGCCCGCGGGGCCGCAGCACUGUGUGAGGGGUGGGGCCCUGGCACCUAGCUUGGGCACGUGCCCUCCUAGCCGGACCUCCCACAGGCAGGGGCUCUGCUCCCGCCUGCCUCUGCCAGCCCACUAGUGCUCACUGUUCCCUAGGUGUGUUUGUCAAAGUGUCUCUGAUGAACCACAACAAGUUUGUCAAGUGCAAGAAGACUUCAGCUGUGCUGGGCUCCAUCAACCCUGUGUACAAUGAGACCUUCAGCUUCAAGGCCGAUGCCACCAAGCUGGAUACCGCUAGCCUCAGCCUGACCGCGGUGCAGAACAUGGAAGGGGACAAGAGCCAGCAGCUGGGCUGAGUGGUGGUGGGCCCCUACAUGUACACCCGUGGCAGAGAGCUGGAGCACUGGGACGAGAUGCUCAGCAAGCCCAAGGAGCUGGUGAAGCGCUGGCAUGCGCUCUGCCGCACCACGGAGCCCUGACCCUUCGCCCAGCACCGCGGUUCCGCUUUGGGAGCCGACCAUCCUCGCAGUUGCACGUGACAGCCACAGCCACACGCAUGGACGUUUCAUCCAACAGCUCCCCGAGCUGCCAGGCCAGCCCGAGCCAGGAGGACGUGAGUGCUGAUAUGCAGGAGAGAAGAGGGGACAAAGAAGUCCUGGCCCGGUCAGCGGCUCUGGCCAUACAGCCUUCCGACACACUCCCUCCUCCUUGCCUGCAGGGCUGCCUGGGCUCGGAAUCCCAGCCCCUGGUCCUCACAGCCCUGAUUUGGACCAGAAUCUCAGGUGCUCAGAAGAAAGAUCCUGUUUAGUGAUGACCCAGCUCUACCUGCUGAAUGGACCUGCAGGGUAAACUUGGGUGCCUCCAUCUGGGAAAGCUGAUGAUGUGUUCAUGCAGUCGAUGACCCUCACUGCUUUUUCAGCCAGGGUUUCUCUGCCUUCUGCCUGGCAGAGAAAACACACUGCUAUGGGGAAAAUCACAGGGAGGGCGCUGUGACCAGCACACUCAGGCACCAAGUGUCGGCAUGGCUCACUGUGCUGGGUGAAGGCCUCCCUGAGCAUUAGGUCCUCCACGGGGCUGUGUCAAAUGCCCUCCCACAUUGUGUCAAGUCUGCCCAUGGCCCACCCUCCCCACAGUCCAAAACCACACAGCCCUGGUUCUCCAGCUGUUCUGCUGCUGUUUCUGUGCUCUCCCUGAUUAAGAGCAUUCAGUUCCUGGGCUCUCCCUUUGAGCAGGAAAUGGUGAAAGCAUGUGGCUAUGGUAUAGCCCACAGGGCUGAGAUUGCUGUGUUGCAGUAUUGAUGUAAAAUUUGUUAAGAAGGAAGUACCCACAGAUCACUGCCAUCAACUCCCCAGAAGUUGCACUCAAGCUAGUGAGCAGCCCUUGUGCUUGUCACAGUUACUGUAACAGGUAGUGUGUAUUUGCACCUGGCAUCGUGCAGCCUGCACGUCAACACGUUGUUUUGCGUAACUAGAACAGCACAUGGAACCACUAUCUCUUUCUCUUUUUUCCUUCUUUUUCUUUUUUUUUUUUUUUUUUUUUUUUUGAGACAGAGUUUCCCUCUUGUCACCCAGGCUGGAGUGCAAUGGCGUGAUCUCGGCUCACUGCACCCUCCACCUCCCAGGUUCAAGCGAUUCUCCUGCCUCAGCCUCCCAAGUAGCUGGGAUUACUGGCACCCGCCACCAUGCCUGGCUAAUUUUUUUUAUUUUUAAUAGAGACGGAAUUUUACCAUGUUGGCUAGGCUGGUCUCAAAUUCCUGGCCUCAGGUGAUCCACCUGCCUCAGCCUCCCAAAGUGCUGGGAUUACAGGCAUGAGUAACCGCACCCGGCCCGACCAGUAUCUUUUUCUUAUGCAGUGAAACAACUUUAGCAAAAGAGGCAAUGAAUGUUAUACUGAGUUUGUACCUCUUUAACUCCACCUGCAAUUUCUGUCAAUCUACAAAUACAAGUGUCGCCUCGCAGUGUUUCGUAUGGACAGAAUAUCUUGUGUUUGCUUUUUGUCACUUAUUUCACUUGCACAUUUUCUUUUGUUUGUUUGUUUGUUUGUUUUUUGAGACGGAGUCUCGCUCUGUCGCCCAGGCUGGAGUGCGGUGGCGCGAUCUAGGCUUACUGCAAGCUCCACCUCCCGGGUUUACUUACGCCAUUGUCCUGCCUCAGCCUCCGGAGUCGCUGGGACUACAGGCGCCUGCCACCACGCCCUGCUAAUUUUUUGUAUUUUCAAGUAGAGACGGGGUUUCACUGUGUUAGCCAGGAUGGUCUCGAUCUCCUGACCUCAUGAUCUACCCGCCUCGGCCUCCCAAAGUGCUGGGAUUACAGGCGUGAGCCACCACGCCCGGCCCACUUGCACAUUUUCAAAGUAGUCCACAAAGCUGUAGUUUCUAAUAGCUUCAUAGUUCACAUGUAAUAGGGGUUCUCUGUGUGUUUAUAGAGCAGGCUACUACAGUGGAACUGUUCCUGUUUCAUCUGACAUCCGGAUAGAUGCCAGCCACCCCCACAUUCCAAAGUGAGAUUUCUGACUAGCAGUGACUUUUCUAGGGCCACGUGGAAAAGUUGAUAAGUAUCCUUUUCUGCAGGACAGAGUAGACUGGUAUCUCUGACUCAUCCCUGAAAAAUCUAAAUGGCAAGAGACUAGCUGGCUCUCUGAUGGGGAGGAGGUUGUUGUUUUGGUUGUUCUCUACAGACAUAGUCAGGGCAAAAAGCAUACACAUGCUUUCCAUGGACCAGAGAGACCUGGCCUGGGUUGUCUCAAAUCCUGUCCACAAGGCAACUCCAGAAGAAAGAAGCCCUUUACAUUUCCAUAAAACACUUUAGAAUCAGCUAGUCAAUUUCCACAAAAUAAAGUGCUAGAAUUUUAUUGGAUUUAAUUGAUUAUGUAGAACAAUUUGGGGGCCAUUUGACAUCAUUAAAAUAUUCAAUUUUCCUAUUCAUUAACAUGGUAUAUCUCUUCACUUUAAGUCUUUUGUAUGUUUCUCAGAACUAUUUUUGUGGUUUUCAGUAAAGUGUUCUUGCACAUCCUUCAAUAGAUUUAUUCUUAGACGUUUUAUAUUUGUUUAUGGCUAGUAUAUACAGAUUCUGUUGCUACAAAACUAUGUUGACCUUGUUAUCCAGUGAGUGGCCUUGUGACAUUCAUUUAAAUUAUAAUAAUUUGCAGAUUAUUUUUGUAUAAUCAUGUCCUCUGUGAAUGACAGUUUUAUUUCUUCCUUUCUUAAUCUUUAUGCCUUAUUUAGCUCUUGCCAAACUGCAGGGGCUGAGCAAUUGGACAAGAUAAAGAAAUAAAAGUGAUCCAGAUCAUAAAGAAAGAAGUAAAACUAUAUCUGCACAUGACAUAAUCUUGUCUAUGGAAAAUCCUAAGGAAUCCACACACAAAAAAACUACUAGAGCUAAUAAGUUCAGCAAGGUUGCAAGAUAUAAAAUUGGUAUACAAAUUGCAGUGGCUAGGACCUCCAGCAGAAUGCUGACUAUAAGUAGUGAUAGUGGGUAUUCUUGUCUCAUCCUCAAUCUCAGGGGUGGUGGGUGUGGCAUGUGGAGAGUUGUCAAUAUUCACCAUGAAGUUUGAUGGUUGUUAUAGGAUUUUUAAUGUACUCAUUAACAUAUAUUCUCAAGCUGUUAAAAAGAUUUUUUUUAAUUACAAAUGAGGUUAAAUUUCUCUCAAAUACUUAUUCUGCACCUUUUGAAAUAAUUUUAUUUUUCUCCUUUAUUCUUUGGAUGUGAUGACUUAUACUAAUUGACUGUUGAAUGUCAAACCAAACUUAACAUUCUUGUAAUAGAAACCAGCAGGGUGUGUACGCGUUUGUGUGUGUGCACAGGUUUAUACACAUAAACACAAUAAUACUUGGACUUAUUUAUUUAAAAUUUAGAUUUAUUAGAGGGAGCAUGGCCAUAAAAUAAAAUAAAAUAAAAUUUAGAUUUAAGUCAAGCUCAGUGGCUCACAUCUAUUAUCCCAGCACUUUGGAAGGCCAAGGCAGGUAGAUUGUCUAAGCUCAGGAAUUUGAGACCAACGUGGUGAAACUCGGUCUCUACAAAAACCACAAAAAUUAGCCAGGUAUGGUGUCACAUGCCUGUUGUCCCAGCUACUUGGAGGGCUGGGGCAGGAGUAUUGCGUGAGCCCAGGAGGUUAAGGCUGAAGUGAGUCAUGUUCACGCCACUGCACUACAGCCUGGAUAACAAAGCGAGACUCUGUCUCCAAAAAUAAAAUAAGUAAAUAAAUAAAUAAAUAAAAUUUAGAUUAAUUUGCUGUUAUAUUUUUAUAUAAACUAUGACAUAAGUAUAAACAAAAAAAUAAAAUAAGUAAAUAAAUAAAUAAAAUUUAGAUUAAUUUGCUGUUACAUUUUUAUAUAAGCUAUGUUUAUGACAGACUUUCCUAUAAUAUUCUUAUCAUAAUGUUCUUGCACUUGAAAGAAUGUGCAUUCUGCAGUUGUGUGCAGGUGUUAUGUGUAUUUCAACUGGGUCAAGUUUGUUAAUCAGGUUGGUCAAAUUAUCUACAUCUUUACUGAUAUUUUUGUCUGUUUUUCUAUAAAUUACUGAGAGAGGCUAAAGCCCGCCACUAUUAUUAUGAAUUUGUUUAUUUCUCCUUUGAGUUUUGUUAAUUUUUGUUUUAUGCAUUUAGAGAUUGUGUUAUUAGGUUCAUACCCAUUUAAAAUUGACGUUUUCUGGUAGAGUGAACCCUUUAUUAUGUGAAAUGGCUUUCUCUACCACUCACAGUGGUAUUUUUUUCACUUUCCCCCUUAUUUUUGAAUUUUCAGUGUUCUUAUAAUGAUGUCAUGUCUCUUGAAUAGAGUUGUUUUAAUCAAGUCUGUCAAUUUUUGUCUUUUGUGUAUUUCGUGAAUUUACAUUUAUUGUAAUUACUGAUAUAGUUGUGUUCAUAAAUACCAUCUUACUAUUUGUUUCCAUUUGUCUUACCCAUUUUUGUUUUUAUUUUUUUCUUUUCUGUUGCUUUCUUUCUGAUUAUUUUUUUAAUUCCGUUUCCCCCCCUACCAUUGGUUCUACUUACACAUUCUUUUAUAAUUUCUUCAGUGGUUUCCUCCACAGAUUACAACUUCUGUACAUUAUUAUAAUCUAAUACAAAUUUUACUUUUUAUUGUUUCCCAGACAAUGCUAUGAUCUCACAAUACUCAAUCUCUAUUUACCUCCAUUCUACUCUUGCAUGUAUAUUAUUAUUACUCAUUUUAAUUUCACAUAUAUUUUACACCUAAUGAGACAUUAUUAUUAUUGCUAUGUGCAGUCAAUAUUCAUUUGUAUUCACCCACAUAUUCACUCUGUUUUUUUUUAUUAUUUCCUGCAUUUCUGUGAUUCUAUCAUAGAUCAGUUUUCUUCUACCUGAAGAAUUCCCUUUAGUAUUUUUUGUGUAUGCACAUCUGCUGACAGCAAAUUUUCUCAGGUUUUUUUGUGUUUUUUUGUUUGCUUGUUUUUGAGACAGGGUCUCACUCUGUCGCCCAGGCUGGAGUGCAGUGGCAUGAUCAUGGUUCACUGUAGCCUCAACCUCCUAGGUUCAAGCAGUCCUCCCACCUCAGCCUCCCGAGUAGCGGGACUACAGGCAGGCACCACCAUACCUGGCUAAUUCUUUUGUAUUUUUUGUAGAGAAGGGAUUUCACCAUGUUGCUCAGGCUGGUCUCAAACUCCAGAACUCAAACAAUCUGCCUGCUUUGACCUCCCAAAGGACUGGGAUUACAGGCCACCUCACCCAGCCUUUCUCAGUUUUUGAAUAGAAACAUCUAUUUCAAAUUCAUUUUUAAGUAUAUUUUGUGAAUAUAGGAUUACAGGUUGACACUUUUUUCUUUGAGGAACUUCAGAAUGGCACUCCAUUAUCUUCUCACUUCCAUCAUUUCUGUUGACAAGUGAUUUUCAGUGCUAUUGUUUCUCCUUUGAGAGUAAUGUGUCAGUAACGUGCGCUGGCUCAUGCCUGUCAUCCCAGCACCCUUGAGCCCAGGAGUUCAAAACCAGCCCAGGCAACAGAGCAAGAUCCCCCACUCUACAAAAGAAAACGACAGGAGGGAGGCAGGAAGGAGGAGAGAGGGAGGGAGGGGAAAGAAAAAAGAAAAGAAGAAAUGUGUCCCUCCUACCUGCCUCUAGCUGCUUUUAAUGUUUUUUCCUUGUCUUUCAUUUGCAGCAGUUUAAGUAUAGUGUGCCUGGGCCGGGUGCGGUGGCUCACGCCUAUAAUCCCAGCACUUUGGGAGGCCAAGGCCAGUGGAUCACCUGAGGUCAGGAAUUCGGGACCAACCUGGCCAACAUGUGAAACCCCAUCUCCACUAAAAAAUCCAAAAAUUAGCCAGGCAUGGUGGUGCGUGCCUGUAAUCCCAGCUAUUCAGGAGACUGAGGCAGGAGAAUCGCUGGACCUUGGGGAGGCGGAGGUUGCAGUGAGCUGAGAUCGCACACUACCGUACUCCAGCCUGGGUGACAAAGAAAAACUCCGUCUCAAAAAAUAAUAAUAAUAAAAAAGUAUAGUGUGCCUGGAUGCAGUUUUGUUUUUAUUUAUCCUGCUUGGGGAUCAUAAAGCUUUAUCAGUUUUGGAAAGUUCUCAGCCUAUAUUUAUUUAACUGUUCCUUCUGCCCCAUCUUCCUCCCUUCUUCUAAGACUCCAGUUACGUAUGUAUUAGGCCUGUUCACCACUUCCCACAAGUAUCUUAUGUUCUUUGCUGUAUUUUCCAUACUCUUUGUCUCUGUUUUUCAGCUUAGAGUUUUUAUUCUGUCCUGUAUUACAGUUCAAAGAAUGUUCCUUCUGCUAAAUCUAAUUGUAGUUAACCCAUAUGCUAAGUACUUAAUUUCAGUUAUUGUAUUUUUAAGUUUUAAAUUUCCAUUUCAUUCUUUCUUAUAGAUUCCAGUUCUUUGAUGAAAGUCUCUAUUCCACCCAUCAAGUCUGUGUCUGAUAACACCAAUAUCUGGGUCAUUAGUGGCUCCGUUUUGUUGUGUCUGUUUUCCCCUCCUUCCUGUUUUGUGGUGUGUUUGAUCACUUAUUGUUGAAUGCUAACCAUUAUAAUAAAUUUUAGUGGCUCCAGGAAACAUUAUCUGAAAACAAUGUCUGUCUCAAGGGAGGGUUUACCAUGUCAUCUGAUAGACAGAGUGGGAAGAUUUUACCUUAAUCCAAUGGUACUGAACUGACUAGAGUCUAUGUUGCAGUUUUUGGAAGGCUUCAUCUCCAUCUCUGGUUUGCCCAUCUAUCUAGAGUGUGGUCCUCCAAGGAUUCCAGCUGAGCGUCUGAUGUGAUUAUUAGGCUUCUUUUCCUUGGUGGGUCCUGAACUCCAACUUUUAUCUCAUUAAUAUGACACUGCCAAAACCUGCUGCCUUUCAUAGCCUUUCUGCAUAGCUUAAUUCAGCAGAUGCCUCAAGGGGAAAGUGUUCCUUUUCUGUGUCUCCCUUCUACAUGAUAUCUCGGCCCCUUCAGUUCCAGCUGCCUUGACAACCUCAGUCUCCAUUUCUUGUCUCUCCAGCUGAAGACUCUGCUGACUUUGCUGCCUCUUAGCUAUGGCCGUCUGCCCAAAUGCUCGGCCUCUUAGCUAAAAUCAGCACGUUUCCUGAAAGGAAAAGUAGUUCACAGAGGGCCAGCUUGCCUCCUUGUGUUUUUCUUCUUUUGAGAUUAUGGCCCUUCAAAUGUUUGUUAACUGGGAAGCUUUCAAAAAACUUUUUAAAAAAGUUUUCUGUGUUUUAUUCAGCCUUUCCAGUUGUUCUUGGAAUGAGUGUUGGUCUGCCUCAAGCAGAAAAAAAAAUCUCAGAAUUCUUUUCUCAGAAAAAGGAUUCUCAGCAGAGAGUGAUUUUAUACACGGAAUGGGAUUAAACAAUUCUUGGGAAAGCUGGUGAAGCCAACGAGGGAACAGUUACUUUUAUCAGUGUGCAAUUUUUUUGCUAUAAUGGUGCAUAACAACUAAUCACAACAUGUCAAUGCCAUACUUAAAUAAGCACUCAUUUCU
rnacentral:lncRNA from 1 species